UACGGGGGGAGCAAGCGUUGUUCGGAUUUACUGGGCGUAAAGGGCGCGUAGGCGGCCACCGCAAGUCAAUUGUGAAAUCUCCGGGCUUAACUCGGAAAGGUCAACUGAUACUGCGGGGCUAGAGUGCGGAAGGGGCAACUGGAAUUCUCGGUGUAGCGGUGAAAUGCGUAGAGAUCUGGAGGAACACCGAUGGCGAAGGCAGCCUUCUAGGCCAACACUGACGCUCAUGCACGAAAGCGUGGGGAGCAAACAGG
rnacentral:rRNA from 1 species